rnacentral:rRNA from 1 species
UUAAAUUGAAGAGUUUGAUCAUGGCUCAGAUUGAACGCUGGCGGCAGGCCUAACACAUGCAAGUCGAACGGUAACAGGAAUCAGCUUGCUGAUUCGCUGACGAGUGGCGGACGGGUGAGUAAUGUCUGGGAAACUGCCUGAUGGAGGGGGAUAACUACUGGAAACG